AUUGAACGCUGGCGGCAGGCCUAACACAUGCAAGUCGAGCGAGCGGCGGACGGGUGAGUAAUGUCUGGGAAACUGCCUGAUGGAGGGGGAUAAAUCCUGGAAACGGUAGCUCAUACCGCAUACCAUCAGAUGUGCCCCGAUGGGAUUAGCUAGUAGGUGGGGUAACGGCUCACCUAGGCGAAGAUCCCUAGCUGGUCUGAGAGGCUGACCAGCCACACGGGAACUGAGACACGGUCCAGACUCCUACGGGAGGCAGCAGUGGGGAAUAUUGCACAAUGGGCGCAAGCCUGAUGCAGCCAUGCCGCGUGUGGGAAGAAGGCCUGCGGGUUGUAAAGCACUUUCAGUGGGGAGGCGUUACCCGCAGAAGAAGCACCGGCUAACUCCGUGCCAGCAGCCGCGGUAAUAC
rnacentral:rRNA from 1 species